UACGUAGGGUGCGAGCGUUGUCCGGAAUUACUGGGCGUAAAGAGCUCGUAGGCGGUUUGUCGCGUCUGCUGUGAAAUCCCGAGGCUCAACCUCGGGUCUGCAGUGGGUACGGGCAGACUGGAGUGCGGUAGGGGAGAAUGGAAUUCCUGGUGUAGCGGUGGAAUGCGCAGAUAUCAGGAGGAACACCGGUGGCGAAGGCGGGUCUCUGGGCAACAACUGACGCUGAGGAGCGAAAGCGUGGGGAGCGAACAGG
rnacentral:rRNA from 1 species